AUAAGUAGUAGUUUGAACUGGAACCUAAACAAGGGGAUUCAGAUUCUGACUACCCUCUGCCUCAUAUCUAUUCCUUACAGAAAUAAAACAUGAGGAUGUUUCCUUCAGGAUUUAAUGUUUGGCUCUAAGCAUGCCAUCCAUGAUUUUUGUAGACUUGGCCUGGGUAGGCUCAGUUCACAACCAGGAGCACCAGGUUUCCAGAUGGACCAGCGUCCAGAGCAGGGAUCGAACGCUUUGUCUCUCAAGUGCCAGCCUGCAAGGACUCUGUUAAUGGAUCCCAGAUCACAGACAAAGCCAUUGCAGCUUUAGUUAAAAAGCAUGGAAACAGGUAAAAUAAUGAUAAAUAUUUCAUUUACAUGUAGCUUCCAUUUAUGUAUGUUUGUAUUUCUUUAUCUGAU
rnacentral:lncRNA from 1 species